rnacentral:rRNA from 1 species
AGGGGGACCUUCGGGCCUCUUGCCAUCAGAUGUGCCCAGAUGGGAUUAGCUUGUUGGUGAGGUAACGGCUCACCAAGGCGACGAUCCCUAGCUGGUCUGAGAGGAUGACCAGCCACACUGGAACUGAGACACGGUCCAGACUCCUACGGGAGGCAGCAGUGGGGAAUAUUGCACAAUGGGCGCAAGCCUGAUGCAGCCAUGCCGCGUGUAUGAAGAAGGCCUUCGGGUUGUAAAGUACUUUCAGCGGGGAGGAAGGUGUUGUGGUUAAUAACCGCAGCAAUUGACGUUACCCGCAGAAGAAGCACCGGCUAACUCCGUGCCAGCAGCCGCGGUAAUACGGAGGGUGCAAGCGUUAAUCGGAAUUACUGGGCGUAAAGCGCACGCAGGCGGUCUGUCAAGUCGGAUGUGAAAUCCCCGG